rnacentral:rRNA from 1 species
GACGAACGCUGGCGGCGUGCCUAAUACAUGCAAGUCGAGCGAAGUUUUUCUGGUGCUUGCACUAGAAACACUUAGCGGCGCACGGGUGAGUAACACGUAAAGAACCUGCCUCAUAGACUGGGACAACUAUUGGAAACGAUAGCUAAUACCGGAUAACAGCAUUAACUGCAUGGUUGAUGUUUAAAAGUUGGUUUUGCUAACACUAUGAGAUGGCUUUGCGGUGCAUUAGCUAGUUGGUGGGGUAAAGGCCUACCAAGGCGACGAUGCAUAGCCGACCUGAGAGGGUGAUCGGCCACACUGGGACUGAGACACGGCCCAGACUCCUACGGGAGGCAGCAGUAGGGAAUCUUCCGCAAUGGGCGAAAGCCUGACGGAGCAACGCCGCGUGAGUGAAGAAGGAUUUCGGUUCGUAAAGCUCUGUUGUUAGGGAAGAAUGAUUGUGUAGUAACUAUACACAGUAGAGACGGUACCUAACCAGAAAGCCACGGCUAACUACGUG